CAGGCCGCAUGCUAGAGUUUGGGAGUGCCCGGAUGGUGAAAUUGGUAGACACAAGGGAUCGUCAGACAGCGAGUCCCCCUCUGACAGAAAUGCCAGAGCAAGCUGCGGGUGAAUUCAGGAGAGGCUAAGGCUGUGGCUAUGCCAAUCGUGAGCCAAGCUAGGGCUACAGCCCUGGAAGGUGCAGAGACUACUGGAGGGGUUCAGACCCCUUAAUGACCAGCUAGAGCGCCCGCUACCCGAACAGGUUAGGCUGAGGGUAAAGAGAUAGUCCAUGUCGUCGGGAAACCGACGG
rnacentral:ncRNA from 1 species